UAUAAGACUGGGAUAACUUCGGGAAACCGGAGCUAAUACCGGAUAAUAUUUCGAACCGCAUGGUUCGAUAGUGAAAGAUGGCUUUGCUAUCACUUAUAGAUGGACCUGCGCCGUAUUAGCUAGUUGGUAAGGUAACGGCUUACCAAGGCAACGAUACGUAGCCGACCUGAGAGGGUGAUCGGCCACACUGGAACUGAGACACGGUCCAGACUCCUACGGGAGGCAGCAGUAGGGAAUCUUCCGCAAUGGGCGAAAGCCUGACGGAGCAACGCCGCGUGAGUGAUGAAGGUCUUCGGAUCGUAAAACUCUGUUAUUAGGGAAGAACAAACGUGUAAGUAACUGUGCACGUCUUGACGGUACCUAAUCAGAAAGCCACGGCUAACUACGUGCCAGCAGCCGCGGUAAUACGUAGGUGGCAAGCGUUAUCCGGAAUUAUUGGGCGUAAAGCGCGCGUAGGCGGUUUUUUAAGUCUGAUGUGAAAGCCCACGGCUCAACCGUGGAGGGUCAUUGGAAACUGGAAAACUUGAGUGCAGAAGAGGAAAGUGGAAUUCCAUGUGUAGCGGUGAAAUGCGCAGAGAUAUGGAGGAACACCAGUGGCGAAGGCGACUUUCUGGUCUGUAACUGACGCUGAUGUGCGAAAGCGUGGGGAUCAAACAGGAUUAGAUACCCUGGUAGUCCACGCCGUAAACGAUGAGUGCUAAGUGUUAGGGGGUUUCCGCCCCUUAGUGCUGCAGCUAACGCAUUAAGCACUCCGCCUGGGGAGUACGACCGCAAGGUUGAAACUCAAAG
rnacentral:rRNA from 1 species